AUUGAAAUAAAAAUUAACAUUCAGUUUUGUACAUAGUCAUGCUUACAGUGGAAUUACGAACGCCUUCAAAAACAGAAAUGAUGAGAUACACUAUGAUACAGAAUGAAAACUGAAUACCUUAUUAAAAGCAUGGAAGUUCAAUUUACGGAAUCAUCAGUAUGACGCGCAA